CUUUGCGUUAAUUGAACGUCUGCAGCGACGUCAAUAUUCCAGCAGCACAAUUCAGCCGAGGACAAUUCUCAUCUAUGGAGGACAGCAGAGUUUCCCCCUCUUCACACACAAAUAUGUGCAAAGAGAAGUUUGAAGUCCCUCUAAUGAGGUCCAGGAGAAAGUUAUAGACAGGCCACCGUUUUCUGCAGUUGCAUGAAUAAAGGGACUCCCUCUUA